GAUGAACGCUGGCGGCGUGCCUAAUACAUGCAAGUCGAGCGAACAGAUAAGGAGCUUGCUCCUUUGACGUUAGCGGCGGACGGGUGAGUAACACGUGGGUAACCUACCUAUAAGACUGGGAUAACUUCGGGAAACCGGAGCUAAUACCGGAUAGUAUUUCGAACCGCAUGGUUCGAUAGUGAAAGAUGGUUUUGCUAUCACUUAUAGAUGGACCCGCGCCGUAUUAGCUAGUUGGUAAGGUAACGGCUUACCAAGGCGACGAUACGUAGCCGACCUGAGAGGGUGAUCGGCCACACUGGAACUGAGACACGGUCCAGACUCCUACGGGAGGCAGCAGUAGGGAAUCUUCCGCAAUGGGCGAAAGCCUGACGGAGCAACGCCGCGUGAGUGAUGAAGGUCUUCGGAUCGUAAAACUCUGUUAUUAGGGAAGAACAUACGUGUAAGUAACUGUGCACGUCUUGACGGUACCUAAUCAGAAAGCCACGGCUAACUACGUG
rnacentral:rRNA from 1 species